UUUUUGUUAGAUUGUUUUGAGAUGAUCUAAAAGACAAACAUGACACAUGGGCGUAAGGAGAAGAAACAAGGAUUUCUUGCAUCUCCAUGAUUUCUAAAAGUAUUCAUUAUAAAUUGAUAUAAAAGUUUAUAUUUUUACAUCAAAAAAGAGUAAAAAGUAUGACUAAAUUUCUUAAAUUUAUUUAUGUUAUGAUCUUCUUUUUCUCCCUAUUUUUUAUUGUAAGGGGUGUAAGCGCUGCUGAAUCUGUGAUGUGUAUUGACGAUUAUGAUUGUCAAAAUUACUGUUUUCCACCGAUGCUAGAAAUUUGUAUCCAUACUCAAUGUAUGUGUAUGAAAUCAUUCAAGAAACUUUGAUUUAUAGUUAAUUAUUUCGUAAUUUAAGGCUUAUCAUUUUAUUUAUACAUCAUAAUUUUGUCUCUCUUAUGAUUAAUUUUACAUAUUAACUUAGAUUACUUUAACCUUUGAAUUUUCUUGAUAGAUGGUGAAAUGCAUCAAUCAGUUUUUCAAGUUGAAAUGUAUCAAUUAUAUCAUACGUGUUAUGAAAUUAAUCAUAAGCAAUAAGUAAAUUUAGUAGGAAAGUAGAGAUGAAGGAGGGAAAGAAAAAUUAAAAGAAUUUUAUUUGACAUAAAUAAAAUAACAUGUUUAACAUGAUUUAAAGAAA